UUGAAAGGGAAACGAUUGAAGUCAGUCGUACCUGCGGGUAAUCAGCCUUUUGGGCAUGAUUCUGUGGAGCGUGAGGAGUUAAACGCCUUCAUGCCUGCAUAUUCGUGUACAUUGGGUGUACUUGCCUGUGUGGUUAGUUAACAUCAAUUUUGGUUAUCAUAAAAUGGUUGGAGGAAUGUAGCUUCGAUUUCGGUUGAAGUGUUAUAGCCUUCGGCAGAUGUGAUGAUCGGGAUUGAGGAUUGCAACGGAUACCCUUCGGGGCUACCUGUCUGGUCUCUGAUCGUUGCUUUGGUGCCGAAAGCGUGCUUACGGUUAUCAAAGUCGAUGGUCAAUAGGUUAGAACGGGUUAAAUUCGUUAAGGAUGUUGACGUA
rnacentral:rRNA from 1 species